UGGCACAGGAGAACGGGCCGUCCCUCG
rnacentral:sRNA from 1 species